AAGCGGAGGAAAAGAAACUAACCAGGAUUCCCCCAGUAACGGCGAGUGAACGGGGAAGAGCCCAACACCGAAUCCCUCGGCGUGAAGCUGAUGGGAAAUGUGGUGUUAAGGUUGCCCUUCGUGCCGAACUAGACGUCUCAAGUCCACCUGAUUGUGGCUCAAGCCCAGAGAGGGUGUAAGGCCCGUAGAGACGUUUGGAGCGGUGCCCGGGGUUAACCUACGAGUCGGCUUGUUUGGGAUUGCAGGCCAAAGUGGGUGGUAAGCUCCAUCCAAGGCUAAAUACUGGCACGAGUCCGAUAGCGGACAAGUACCGUGAGGGAAAGUUGAAAAGAACUUUGAAGAGAGAGUUCAAUAGUACGUGAAACCGCUUAGAGGCAAACGGAUGGUGCUCAAAUUGGCUCGGGGAAUUCAGCCGUUGUUGAGUUGGUGGGUGGAUUGACGUUUUCAUUAUUAAACAGAUCCUCUUUAAUUUAAGGACUGGCGUCGGUCUUCCAACUGCCUUCGACUCGGUGCACUUUCCCCGGUUUUGCCUUCGCCACGACCGACGAUACUGGCCACCCGCGGCUGGGGAAAGGUGGCAGGCUGCUUCUUGUAGCCUGUUUUUAUAGACCCUGGCGUCGGAUUUUGUUUGGGCAGGACGUCGGAGCUAGCGGUGCCCGCCCCUUGUGGGCUCGCAUGUUGGUUAGCUUGGUUGCGCCGAUGCUUGCACUGGUAACCAGUACAGGUGACGGUUGUAGCCUUGCAUCUAGCCGGCCUCUGCGAGUUUGGUGCCUAUAGUCUGUGGUGUUCCAGUGGGUAGACUAUCCGACCCGUCUUGAAACACGGACCAAGGAGUCUAACAUGUGCGCGAGUCAUGGGGACUUUACGAAGCCCAAAGGCGUAGUGAAAGUAAAGGCCUGCUUCUCGUAGGCUGAGGUGGGAUCUCGUGCAUUGCGAUUGGCGAGCGCACCACCGGCCCGUCCCAUCUGUCUCUGUCAGUGGGGCGGCGCAAGAGCGUACACGUUGGGACCCGAAAGAUGGUGAACUAUGCUUGCGCAGCUCGAAGUCAGUGGAAACACUGAUGGAGGAGCGCAGCGUUUCUGACGUGCAAAUCGAUCGUCAAACGUGAGUAUAGGGGCGAAAGACUAAUCGAACCAUCUAGUAGCUGGUUCCCUCCGAAGUUU
rnacentral:rRNA from 1 species